rnacentral:rRNA from 1 species
AGUGAACGCUGGCGGUAGGCCUAACACAUGCAAGUCGAACGGCAGCACAGUAAGAGCUUGCUCUUACGGGUGGCGAGUGGCGGACGGGUGAGGAAUACAUCGGAAUCUACUUUUUCGUGGGGGAUAACGUAGGGAAACUUACGCUAAUACCGCAUACGACCUACGGGUGAAAGCAGGGGAUCUUCGGACCUUGCGCGAUUGAAUGAGCCGAUGUCGGAUUAGCCAGUUGGCGGGGUAAAGGCCCACCAAGGCGACGAUCCGUAGCUGGUCUGAGAGGAUGAUCAGCCACACUGGAACUGAGACACGGUCCAGACUCCUACGGGAGGCAGCAGUGGGGAAUAUUGGACAAUGGGCGCAAGCCUGAUCCAGCCAUACCGCGUGGGUGAAGAAAGCCUUCGGGUUGUAAAGCCCUUUUGUUGGGAAAGAAAAGCAGCAGGUUAAUACCCCGCUGUUCUGACGGUACCCAAAGAAUAAGCACCGGCUAACUUCGUG